GAAAUGCGAUAAGUAAUGUGAAUUGCAGAAUUCCGUGAAUCAUCGAAUCUUUGAACGCAAAUUGCGCCCUCUGGCAUUCCGGGGGGCAUGCCUGUCCGAGCGUCAUUACGCACCCUCAAGCCCGGCUUGUGUGAUGGGCCCCGGCGUCUCGUUCGCGAGACGGGCCCGAAAGGCAGCGGCGGCGUCGACCCGAUGAGCCCGAGCGUAUGGGGACUUCUGUCACACGUUCGCGGUGCGGACCGGCGCCUGCUUGACUUUUCUGAUUAUCCAGGUUGACCUCGGAUCAGGUAGGGAUACCCGCUGAACUUAAGC
rnacentral:misc_RNA from 1 species